GGCUGCGGGUGGGGGCGCAACCGAGAAGGCGGCGGGUCGCUCCGGCGCAGUGAGUUGGUGCUGUGGGCCGUUCGCAGCAAGAAGUGCGAGGUACACAUGAGCGCGAAAAGGGUCUACGUGAAGGUCCAAGGCUGAUGUCUCCAGGAGGCUUAGAACUAAUAGGCUCCUAUGAGUCCCAACCUGUGCCUUGGGAUUUGAGGACUUCUUUUCUGAGCUUUACCUCUGACCCAGGGCUGUGAUUCUGCCUCAGAGAUGAACAUUGGCAUAGACUGUCACCUUUCUCCAGUGUGCUUGGGCUACACAUGGCAAGAAGAAGAGCUCUGAGUCCAGAAUUCUGCUCCAAGAGGUGACCAAGGAGGGUACUGCAGAAGGAACUUGGGGGCAGAGCCAAGAGCUAAGGAGAGCACUGGCCUGAGGAGCUCCAUCCAGGUAGCAGAAGCAGGGCAUAACCAGAAGACUCCCCGGUCCCAAGGUCAGCGUUUCUCACCAAGUCUGCCCAGAGGAAUUUCAUAGCUGCUGCAGACCUGAGAUUGCUGGGCUCCUCCCAUGCUUCCCCUUCCCGGACUCCUAAUUGUGGUUAUCUUGUGGUUAUCCUUCUGCAUUAUUCCACUGUAUUGGAUAUACGGAUUCAGGCAAUUUGUCCUUUUACAUCAUAGGUUCAGAGGUCUCCAGAUCCGGAGGAAAAACAUCCAGACCUGAUGUUGAGGCCAUCACACCAUCCAAGACUUUGAUCUUAAUGCUCUUGGUAGGUAACUAAAUAGAGGUUUUAGGUUAUCUCUCUUAGGGAGAGAUUGUGUGUGGAGGGAGGGAAGUGAAUAUUUGUAAGAAAACAGACAGUGGCAGACUAAUUAUUUGUUCAAAGUAUUCACGGCCCCUCCCCUGACGCCCCACAUUAUGGAAGGCCUAUUUUUACUUCCCACCUCACUGACAUUAGGCUUGGCCACAUGACUUGCUUCGGCCAAUGAGUUGUGGGCAGAAGCCAGAAGAACCAUCUCCUGGUUCUGACACUGUACUUUUCCCUGCCACAUAACAACAUCCCAGAGCAGACUUGAUCUUUCAGCAUGAAUCCCAGAGCAAAGAGGGUGUGGAGGAGUCAGAGCUGGCCCACUAGUGAUACGUAACAUAAAGAAGAAAUACACCUUUGUUACUAUGAGCCAUUGAGAUCAACAGGCCAUCGUUCCUACGACACUCCUAGAUUAAGCUCUCUGAUAUACCUCUGAAUGGUGUACAUUAAGGCCAAAGAGGUUGAAACUCGAUUUAUUAUCCUACUAGUUAUCUGUGAGAAUCCUCUAUUGGUGGGGGUUUCCCCCACUGGCUAGAAAAUUAAAUACAAAUGUCUAUCAUUAGGCUACAAUACACGAAACUACCAUCUUGGCUGCUAGGAAAUGAGGCAGCCUGGCAUCCACAGCCUUCCACUUGAUUUUCUCCACAUCCAGCCUACUACAGCCAAACCUGAAUCCAAUUCUGGAGUCGGUCACCAUUACCCCGUUUACCCCCUCACAACCGAAGCUGACUAGGAAUUACCAUUUACCAGAAGACUCCAGCAACGAUAUGAGGUAACUGCGUUAUUGAGUGGUUAAGAUCUUAGAGCCAGACAACCUGGAUCUGAAACUAGGCUGCCUUCCUUAUGUGCUGAAACUAGGCUGCCUUCCUUAUGUGCUAGAGAACCACGAACAAGUGACUUUAUCUCUCUUGCUUUUCUCAGUUACCCCUCUGUGCCUCAGUUGCCAUUCUUCAAAAUAAGAAUGUUUGAAAGAUGAGUUAGUGUAAGGAAAUUGUGUAGAACGGCUCCUGAUACAUAUUUGGUUCUCAGUACAUAAUGGCCAUUACUAUUUUCACCAUGAUCAU